rnacentral:rRNA from 1 species
UGGGGAAUAUUGGACAAUGGGCGCAAGCCUGAUCCAGCAAUGCCGCGUGUGUGAAGAAGGCCUUCGGGUUGUAAAGCACUUUUAUCAGGAACGAAAAGCGUGGGGUUAAUACCUUUACGUGCUGACGGUACCUGAGGAAUAAGCACCGGCUAACUUCGUGCCAGCAGCCGCGGUAAUACGAAGGGUGCAAGCGUUAAUCGGAAUUACUGGGCGUAAAGCGUGCGUAGAUGGUUUGUUAAGUCGGAUGUGAAAGCCCCGGGCUCAACCUGGGAACUGCAUCCGAUACUGGCAGACUAGAGUGUGGUAGAGGAUGGCGGAAUUCCCGGUGUAGCGGUGAAAUGCGUAGAGAUCGGGAGGAACAUCCGUGGCGAAGGCGGCCAUCUGGACCAACACUGACGUUGAGGCACGAAAGCGUGGGGAGCAAACAGGAUUAGAUACCCGCGUAGUCCCUGAGCGGGCUGGCAAGGCGCAU